rnacentral:lncRNA from 10 species
CGUGGUGGCAGGCGUCUGUAAUUCCAGCUACUUGGGAGGCUGAGGCAGGAGAAUUGCUUGAACCUGGGAGGUGGAGGUUGCAGUGAGUCGAGAUCGUGCCAUUGCACUCCAGCCUGGGUGACAAGAGUGAAACUCUCUCUCAAAAAAAAAAAAAAAAAGAGAGAGAGAAAAGAAAACCUUUUUCCAGAAGUUCCCACAGUAGUUCUCUGCUUAGGUCCUGUGGAUCACUCUUAGUUGCAAUGAAGGCAGGGAACCCUGGAGGCUGGAUUGUCCUGAUAGGGCUUAGACUACUCAUGGUCCAUCGCCUGGGGGUUCUGGUAGUCAAGAGGAAGGGGACAUGCAUGUUAGGUGGCCACCCAUAAUUUCACCAAAAAAAAUGUGUGUGGGUUUUUUUGUUUUUUGUUUGUUUUUGAGACAAGGUCUCACUCUGUCACCCAGGCUGGAGUGCAAUGUCACAGUCACAGCUCACUGUAGCAUCCACCUCCCAGGCUCAGGUGAUCCUCCUGCCUCAGCCUUCCAAGUAGCUGGGGCCACAGCCAUAAUAAAGUGUGAUGGAGAGAUGGUACCGAUUCCCCCCACCUGAGAGCCAAGAGGUUGUGCAAGGAGGGCUUCCUGGAAGAGGCAAUGACGGACCUAAGUCUUAAAGAUUAAGGAGUCACUCAGACAAAAAAAGGCGGGGCAUAGUAUUCCCAGGUGAGGGGAACUGCACAAGGCAAGACACGGAGCUGGGAAACAGUCUGGACUGUGCUGUGGAAGUGGCUGGCAGGAGAAUAAAGUGGGGAUUUGAUGGUGACAGAGGAAGAGAGAGAUUGGAGUGUGAUAAACCUAUGUACUGCAUGGGAGACGCAGCAGCCGGGAGGCCUCUGCCUUGGUCUCCUCCUGUGUAAAAUGGGGAUAAAAAUAUUGCCUGCCUUGUAGGGAUCUUGUCAGGGUUUAAUGAGCUUGAAUUAAGAGUUUAUGUACCAUCUGGAACAGUCUCUGGCACAUGUUCAAUAAAUGUUGGCUGUAACUGCUGCUCUCCUCCAAGAGCUUGGUGAGACACUGUAGCUUCCUCUCUGGAGCUGAGAGAGACGUGCAUGGCGGGGCGGGGGCUGUAGAGAAGGAAGUCUUCCAUCGUUACAAUGAGGAUGGGGGAGAGCGGGGUAGAGAGACAGGGAACAGCUUCCAGAGAAGGAAGAUGGGUUUGGCAGGCAAGACAAUAGGUGUCCACUUCUAGGGAGGUGUGAACAAGGUAUCAAUCAACCACUAUGUAGUGAGUACCUGCUGUGUUCAAAGCAAUG